UAUUCAUGAUUUAUUUUGAUUGAGUUAUUUUCUGUUAUAUAAUUAGCAAUAGGAUUGCUAUUUAUGAAAUGUGCUGAUCUAUUUGUGAAAUGAGUCAACAUAUUUGGUGAACAGAAAAUAAAACCUUUCAAAUUUGAAAAUUAUUUUCGAAAUAUCAAACCCUGACCCAUCAGCCCAAAUACUUAAUUAAAAGAAUUAAGUGUUGUCUAGUAGGUCUAGAAUUGUGAAUUAAGACCUAAGACAAUUGCAUAAACUUGUGGAUCAAUGGGUUAGAUGGAUUAGGUCCAUAAUUGGGUUAGACCUAAGGUUAGCUUAA
rnacentral:lncRNA from 1 species